AGAUGAUGAUCAGCCAUACUGGUACUGAGACACGGCCCAGACUCCUACGGGAGGCAGCAGUGGGGAAUUUUCCGCAAUGGGCGCAAGCCUGACGGAGCAAGACCGCGUGGGGGAUGACGGCCUAAUGGUUGUAAACCCCUUUUCUCUGGGAAGAAGACUGACGGUACCAGAGGAAUCAGCCUCGGCUAACUCCGUGCCAGCAGCCGCGGUAAUACGGAGGAGGCAAGCGUUAUCCGGAAUUAUUGGGCGUAAAGCGUCCGUAGGUGGUUAUUCAAGUCUGCUGUCAAAGCGUGGGGCUUAACUCCAUAGAGGCAGUGGAAACUGAGUGACUAGAGUGCGGUAGGGGUCGAGGGAAUUCCCAGUGUUAGCGGUGAAAUGCGUAGAUAUUGGGAAGAACACCAGUGGCGAAAGCGCUCGACUGGGCCUGCACUGACACUGAAGGGACGAAAAGCUAGGGGAGUGAAAGGGAUUAGAUACCCCUGUAGUCCUAGCCGUAAACGAUGGAUACUAGGUGUUGCUCGUCAUCGACCCGAGCAGUGCCGUAGCCAACGCGUUAAGUAUCCCGCCUGGGGAGUACGCUCGCAAGAGUGAAACUCAAAGGAAUUUGACGGGGGCCCGCACAAGCGGUGGAGUAUGUGGUUUAAUUCGAUGCAACGCGAAGAACCUUACCAGGGCUUGACAUGUCCGGAACCUUGCCGAGAGGUGAGGGUGCCUUCGGGAGCCGGAACACAGGUGGUGCAUGGCUGUCGUCAGCUCGUGUCGUGAGAUGUUGGGUUAAGUCCCGCAACGAGCGCAACCCACGUUCUUAGUUGCCAGCAUUGAGUUGGGCACUCUAGGGAGACUGCCGGUGACAAACCGGAGGAAGGUGUGGAUGACGUCAAGUCAGCAUGCCCCUUACGUCCUGGGCUACACACGUACUACAAUGCUGUGGACAAAGGGCAGCCAGCCAGCGAUGGUGAGCUAAUCCCAGAAACCACGGCUCAGUUCAGAUUGCAGGCUGCAACUCGCCUGCAUGAAGGAGGAAUCGCUAGUAAUCGCAGGUCAGCAUACUGCGGUGAAUACGUUCCCGGGCCUUGUACACACCGCCCGUCACACCAUGGGAGUUGGUUUUGCCCGAAGUCGUUACUCCAACCUUAGGGAGGG
rnacentral:rRNA from 1 species